rnacentral:misc_RNA from 1 species
UUUCAAAGGCAGGAUAGAUGAGUACCAGGAAACUGGUAUGAUAGGUGUCCUUCACAAAAGUUUGUUCAUGGUUUACCUCUUUCCACGACUUCCAUGGCCAGAUCUUGGACCAGGGUACCGAGAAAACUGCAGCCCUAAGUAGUUAGAUUCAUGACCAUGUUCAUCCAUCUUAUAACCUUGCAAGGCGCUCAUUGCAGUUGCUGCACAGGCUGGAUUUUCAAAAUCAACAAAACAAAGGAUAAUAGGAUCUCCACCACGAUGCUUGGAUUCUUUACUCACAAGUCUUACUUCCUUAUAUCCCACAAAAGGGCGAAAGAUAUGAGCUACUUCCCUCCUUGUGCUGUCAGAAGGGAGUCCCUCAACAUAUAGAGUGCUGGAAGCAUCUGGAGGUAGAGGUAUAGUUUCACGAACAGGCCUAGCUGUUGUAUCCACUGAAGGCUGACUACGGAAAACAAUGUCCUGACCAUUUGGUGCCAGAUCUGGACCUCUAGCACGAGGAUGGCCUGUUAUACCAGAAUCAAGUAUUGGAAGACCAGUCAUCGCACUACUGGCAGCCCUUCCCAACCCAGCACUUAAUCCACUAGCUUCUCCGGAAGAAAAAGGAGUAAUUUGCGCAUUUUGCAGAUAUCGGUCGUACGCUGAUCCAAUUGUUUUUGUGUCCUUCACAGCCUGAUACCUAUUUUGAUCCCCAUCUUUUGGAUAAUAGUUAUGAAUCUCAUGGCUCAUAGGCAACACUGAAGAUGGGAGAUCGUAGUCGGAACGAGGUCGCUUUAAACUGCCACCAGAGAGGAGAAGACGCUGCUGCUGCUGCUGCCGAUUCCAAUAACCGUCCGUCAUGUCUCGGCCUGACGGUUGAUUUCGGUGAGAAACAGAGAAAGUUCUCGAUUUCAGCUACAGAAUGGAGAUUUGUCCAAAGAUUAAACAAAAACAAAACCCUAAUUUCGAUACCCGUUGAUUGGGUC